UCAGCAUGCCGCGGUGAAUACGUUCCCGGGCCUUGUACACACCGCCCGUCACACGAUGGGAGCCGGUAAUACCCGAAGUCAGUAGUCCAACCUCGUGAGGACGCUGCCGAAGGUAGGAUUGGCGACUGGGGUGAAGUCGUAACAAGGUAUC
rnacentral:rRNA from 1 species